rnacentral:rRNA from 1 species
GACGAACGCUGGCGGCGUGCCUAAUACAUGCAAGUGGGACGCAAGGAAACACACUGUGCUUGCACACCGUGUUUUCUUGAGUCGCGAACGGGUGAGUAACGCGUAGGUAACCUGCCUAUUAGCGGGGGAUAACUAUUGGAAACGAUAGCUAAUACCGCAUAAUAUUAAUUAUUGCAUGAUAAUUGAUUGAAAGAUGCAAGCGCAUCACUAGUAGAUGGACCUGCGUUGUAUUAGCUAGUUGGUAAGGUAAGAGCUUACCAAGGCGACGAUACAUAGCCGACCUGAGAGGGUGAUCGGCCACACUGGGACUGAGACACGGCCCAGACUCCUACGGGAGGCAGCAGUAGGGAAUCUUCGGCAAUGGACGAAAGUCUGACCGAGCAACGCCGCGUGAGUGAAGAAGGUUUUCGGAUCGUAAAGCUCUGUUGUAAGUCAAGAACGUGUGUGAGAGUGGAAAGUUACACAGUGACGGUAGCUACCAGAAA